ACAACCAACGGCCACUACACCACGCACCCCAGCGCAUUUUCGCUACGCCGAUAUUUUCCAUCAACCCCAUCCCGUUCUUCCCCUCUCCCAAUCUCAAACCCACAGGCCCCUGGCCUCUCUCUCAAAUUUCGCAGGUAACAGAACAAUUAGGGUUCUGCCCCUGCGAAAAAAACUUCGUCCUAGAAUCGAAACCCGAACCUUUCAAACGAUCAGGUGUUCGUUUCGCUCUCCGUUUUCAAUUUUGGUCUGGUUUUUUUUUUUGGUGCCAAAAAAUGGGUGACAUGGAAGACGAUGCAAGGUACUCGGGAAAAUCCUAUGCUCUGAACCCCUAUAAUACUUCUCAUCGCCCAAGAAACUUGAUCCCCAGUUCCAAUUACACUCACCCAAUUAGAAAUAACUACGAAGUCGAGGACGACGACGAAUUCGACGUUGAAAAUGACCGGCAGGAAGACGAGGAAGAGGAAGAAGACGAAAACCCAAAUGGGUACUAUCGCAAUCUCGAAGCAGAUGGAAAUUUUAAUAGGCACCCGAAGAAGAGGAAGUUAAGGAAUUCCAUUUCGGGGUACGAGUCCAUGGCCAGAAGUGCGAAAGAUUCGUACUCGGCGUGGAUUCCAGAGGCAGAGUGGACGGAGCACGCGGUGUUCGUAUUGUUGGAGGUAUGGGGAGACAGGUUUCUUCAAUUGGGGAGGAAGAGCUUGAGGUCCGAGGAUUGGAACGACGUCGCCGAGAAGGUCUCCGAGGCGUCGAAGACGGAGAGGACCGAGGUGCAAUGCAGGGCUAUGAUGGACAAGCUGAAGAGGAAGUACAAGAAAGAGAAGGCCAAAGUUGACGAAAUGGGAUCGAAUUCUAGCAAAUGGGUCUACUUUAAGAAGAUGGAUAUGUUAAUGGCUUCGUCGCCCAGGCAAGACUUCGGGCUGGCUUGUGGGGUCGAUUCGGGUGAGUAUGUGUUUAUGAAUACUUGGGUUUAUUUGGACAGAUCGAAUGGGUUUGAUGAGAUGAGGGAUAGUCCUGGGGAGUCGGAGAAUGACGAGGAAGAUGGGAUUGAGUCGGAUGAGCCCCCACGGAGGACGAGAGCAAGAGGCCGUGGAGAAGGGUCAUUGUCGUACAGGGUGGUGGCGGAUUCGAUUCAGAAGUUUGGGGAUAUAUAUGAGAAAAUUGAGAGUGGUAAGAGGCAGCAUAUGAUGGAGUUGGAGAAGAUGAGGUUGGAGUUCCAGAGGGAGUUGGAGUUGCAGAAGAAGCAGAUUCUAGAGAGGGCCCAGACGGAGAUUGCGAAAAUGCAGGAAGAGGAUGAUGAUGAGGAUUCUGAUUCUUCUGAAGAGAAUCUCAUAAAUUAAGUACUACUUGGAUAUUUUUUUUUUUUAUAUCCUUGGGUGUCCGGGCCAGCUUACGCGCACCUCGACUAAUCCCACGGGGCCCUGAAGUUAGCGCACAGGUAAACCUCAGUGGCCCUGAGGGGACUCGAACUAGUGACACUACUUGGAUAUUCUGCUUGGAUGAAAGGUUAUGGGUGUCAGUUUAUUGGAGGACUGCAAAUUAGGACAGGCACAACGUCGUUGAGGUCUUCUUGUCAUUGCCUCUGAAAGCUUAUAGAGAAAACUUCAGUUGAAAUUUCUGAGUUGGAUGGCAUCUGAUCUACUUCAAGGGUUUUUGGUAAAGGAGGAUGUGUUAACAUCAUGAAGCCUUUGUACCCAGAAAAAGGUAGUGAACGGACCGGCAUUUUUUGGAAGUUUCAGCUUUUAUGCAAAGUCUUUGGAUAUUUUGAGGUUUUUAUAUGGAGUAUAUCCCACUUUUCUAAUUUAAUGCGCAGCAACUCGUGCUAAUUGUUUUUUGUUACUAAUGAUCUUAAUUUUUCACAACUUUUGCCCCAUCUGAGCCUGUCUGUGGUUGGAAAUUUAGUUUCUUGGCAAUUCA